rnacentral:rRNA from 1 species
CGCACUAGUUAGAGUUUGAUCCUGGCUCAGAGUGAACGCUGGCGGUAGGCCUAACACAUGCAAGUCGAACGGCAGCACAGUAAGAGCUUGCUCUUACGGGUGGCGAGUGGCGGACGGGUGAGGAAUACAUCGGAAUCUACCUUUUCGUGGGGGAUAACGUAGGGAAACUUACGCUAAUACCGCAUACGACCUUCGGGUGAAAGCAGGGGACCUUCGGGCCUCGCGCGGAUAGAUGAGCCGAUGUCGGAUUAGCUAGUUGGCGGGGUAAAGGCCCACCAAGGCGACGAUCCGUAGCUGGUCUGAGAGGAUGAUCAGCCACACUGGAACUGAGACACGGUCCAG